rnacentral:rRNA from 1 species
GAUGAACGCUGGCGGCGUGCCUAAUACAUGCAAGUCGAGCGAACGGACGAGAAGCUUGCUUCUCUGAUGUUAGCGGCGGACGGGUGAGUAACACGUGGAUAACCUACCUAUAAGACUGGGAUAACUUCGGGAAACCGGAGCUAAUACCGGAUGAUAUUUUGAACCGCAUGGUUCAAAAGUGAAAGACGGUCUUGCUGUCACUUAUAGAUGUAUCCGCGCUGCAUUAGCUAGUUGGUAAGGUAACGGCUUACCAAGGCAACGAUGCAUAGCCGACCUGAGAGGGUGAUCGGCCACACUGGAACUGAGACACGGUCCAGACUCCUACGGGAGGCAGCAGUAGGGAAUCUUCCGCAAUGGGCGAAAGCCUGACGGAGCAACGCCGCGUGAGUGAUGAAGGUCUUCGGAUCGUAAAACUCUGUUAUUAGGGAAGAACAUAUGUGUAAGUAACUGUGCACAUCCUGACGGUACCUAAUCAGAAAGCCACGGCUAACUACGUG